UACAGAGGGGGCAAGCGUUAUUCGGAAUUAUUGGGCGUAAAGAGCGCGUAGGCGGUCCGAUAAGUCGGCUGUGAAAGUCAGGGGCUCAACCCUUGGAAGCCGGCCGAUACUGUAGGACUAGAGUCCGGAAGAGGCGAGUGGAAUUCCCGGUGUAGCGGUGAAAUGCGCAGAUAUCGGGAGGAACACCAAUGGCGAAGGCAGCUCGCUGGGACGGUACUGACGCUGAGGCGCGAAAGCGUGGGGAGCAAACAGG
rnacentral:rRNA from 1 species